GACGAACGCUGGCGGCGCGCCUAACACAUGCAAGUCGAGCGAGAACCGGUCCUUCGGGGCCGGGGACAGCGGCGAACGGGUGAGUAACACGUGGGUAAUCUGCCCUCGGCACCGGGAUAGCCCGGGGAAACCCGGAUUAAUACCGGAUGGCCUUUCGAAUCUUCGGGGUCGAACGAAAAGGUAGCUUCGGCCUCCGGCCGAGGAUGAGCCCGCGGCCGAUUAGCUUGUUGGGGAGGGAACGGCUCACCAAGGCUCCGAUCGGUAGCUGGUCUGAGAGGACGAUCAGCCACACUGGGACUGAGACACGGCCCAGACUCCUACGGGAGGCAGCAGUGGGGAAUCUUGCGCAAUGGGCGAAAGCCUGACGCAGCGACGCCGUGUGCGGGAAGAAGGCCUUCGGGUUGUAAACCGCUUUCAGGAGGGACGAAGCCACUCGGGUUAAUAGCCCAGAGGGUGACGGUACUUCCAGAAGAAGCCCCGGCUAACUACGUGCCAGCAGCCGCGGUAA
rnacentral:rRNA from 1 species